GACGAACGCUGGCGGCGCGCCUAACACAUGCAAGUCGAGCGAGAACCAGGGCUUCGGCCCUGGGGACAGCGGCGAACGGGUGAGUAACACGUGGGUAACCUGCCCUCGGCACUGGGAUAGCCCGGGGAAACCCGGAUUAAUACCGGAUAGCCUCCGGAGCCUUCGGGCGCCGGAGAAAAGGUGGCUUCGGCAUCCGGCUGAGGAUGGGCCCGCGGCGGAUUAGCUUGUUGGUGGGGUAACGGCCUACCAAGGCGACGAUCCGUAGCUGGUCUGAGAGGACGAUCAGCCACACUGGGACUGAGACACGGCCCAGACUCCUACGGGAGGCAGCAGUGGGGAAUCUUGCGCAAUGGGCGAAAGCCUGACGCAGCGACGCCGCGUGCGGGAAGAAGGCCUUCGGGUUGUAAACCGCUUUCAGGAGGGACGAAGCCACUCGGGUGAAUAGCCCAGAGGGUGACGGUACCUCCAGAAGAAGCCCCGGCUAACUACGUGCCAGCCGCCGCCGUAAGAC
rnacentral:rRNA from 1 species